UACGGGGGGGGCAAGCGUUGUUCGGAAUUACUGGGCGUAAAGGGCGUGUAGGUGGCCAACUAAGUCCGACGUGAAAUCCCCAGGCUUAACCUGGGAACUGCGUCGGAUACUGGAUGGCUUGAAUCCGGGAGAGGGAUGCAGAAUUCCAGGUGUAGCGGUGAAAUGCGUAGAUAUCUGGAAGAACACCGGUGGCGAAGGCGGGUCUCUGGGCCGAUACUGACGCUGAGGAGCGAAAGCGUGGGGAGCGAACAGG
rnacentral:rRNA from 1 species